rnacentral:misc_RNA from 1 species
ACUUUAUUUAUAAAAAAUAAUUUGUAUGUAAAAAUUAACUUUUUUUUCUAGUUUUUGAAUACCCUAAAUAUUAUAAAAUAAGGAACAUAUUACCAGUGUCAUUCCCUAUUAAAUACAAAAUGCAAACUCUUUUUGUCUAAAUCAUGUAAUGUUUGACUCAAUAUCACCUAACCUAACCAUCUCGGUCGAUAUGUGACUGAAUCGUCUCGGUUAUGGGACGUGGACUCUUAGAGGAAUUACCUUUUGAUUAUAUAUAUAUAUAUAUAUA